AAGUCGUAACAAGGUUUCCGUAGGUGAACCUGCGGAAGGAUCAUUAUCACGUAUCCACGUAUCACCAACUGUGCACUGUUAUUAUCUCCCUGUCGCUUCACAUGCAUUGGAACUUGCUCACGCUUUGGAAUGGAGUCUCUCUCACCAGAGGCUAGCGUGACAUGAGCACACUUGCGAGCGCUUGUCGCUCGCAGACAAUGGUAGUGAAUGCUUCAGGCAUAUUCUUACGUCCUUCGUGACCAUCUACUCGAAGGCGUAGGAGAAUUUUAUACACAUAUUUCACACCCUUUUUGCUAGUUGACUUUUUUAAUGUUGGGCUUACUAUGAAAUUAAUUUUUUACGGUAGUUCACACGUUUAUCUAUUUAAACGAAAAAUACAACUCUUAGCAAUGGAUAUCUAGGUUCUC
rnacentral:misc_RNA from 1 species